rnacentral:lncRNA from 1 species
UUACCUUGGGAUAUUUGCCACUUAAGAAAGGAUAAGCAAUUUUUUUUAAUAUGUAUUUUUAUUUUGAUUGUGAACCUUAAACUACAUGGAAGUAUUAUGUGCGACUCUUGAUCAAUGGCCUCUUCUAAAGAUAAGAGCCAGCUCACCUGGUUUUGUGGGUUCCAAUUAGUGUGGAAACUCUGAGUCCUAAUUACGUGUUACUUUGUCAUAUCUAGGCCACCAUUCCUAACAACUGAGUAGGCUCUUGAUCACUGUGGACAUUUGAGGAUUAAGGGCAAAGAAGGCUAUGGCUCUAUUGCUAAUAUUUUACUUUUGUAGUGUUGAGGUCUCCAACAUUAGUUUCAUGACUUUUAGUUAUGUAUUUAUUUGAGCCUACAGAAGCUGAAUUAAACUAUUCAUGUCACAUCUCUUACUUCCAUAAUUAUGUUUAUUAGAAAAAAAUAAUCUGAGCUAUAAGCUUCUAAUUCCCUAUCAUUGAGCUCAGAGUUGUGUUUGACACUUGAGACAAUAAUGACAAGACCUUGAAGAAAAACAAACAAACAUUACAACCCCUUCAAAAGGGUAGCUUUCCUCCUCUUCAGAUCAUUUGCUAGGGAACUCUGCUGUUUUCCUCAUCCCAAAGCAAGAGGUUGGCUAAUCUUAGAAAAAUUCCCUUACGGCAUAGCACUCUCUGACUCAGUGGCUGUGACUCAGCAUGCUUGACAGCCAGGUCUAGCCCUGAAACAUCAGGCACAGUUUCCUGGAAGCUGUUGUCAAAUCUGUUUACAAAGGCAGGCAGAAAGAGUUUCAUCAGAAACUCAAUCGUACAGCUGUCUUGGGGAUCUAUGGAAGCUCCUUUGCAUGCUGCGAGGCUGGAGAAAUUACACAGAAGAGGUAUCUUCACGGCUUCAGAAUCAACUAGACAUCAGUCAGUUCAUUGCGUCUCACUCUCUUCUUCAUCGACGGGCCUUGUGAAUUAUUGGUAAAAUAGAUACAGGUGCACGUAAGUUAGAUUUCUAUUAGGCUUGAAGACCUGUAAAAUCCUUUCAUACGUAUUUGAGAUAAAGCCCUGUUUUCUGAUGUUCUCAGUUCCAAUGAUU